GCUGUGAGGAUAAUGGAAGUGGGAGGUGGGUAUCCCUCCUCCACUGCCUCAUUUCUCUUUCUCUCUCUUAAAGACUUAACCAAUCGGUCUUUCUCUCUCUCUCUAUCCAUCCAUCUCUGCUUUUCCCUUUCAGCUGGAGGAGAUCUUGGGAGGAAAGAUAUAUAGUCCAGUGUCUUCUCUGUAGAGAGCAAAAGGGAAAGGAGCUCGCAGCAGGUCAAAGCCACAACAAGCUCCACGGAAGAAAGAGGGAGAGAGAGAGGGAGAGGGAUUUAUUUCAAGGAGAAUUUCAGUUAGUGCACAAGUGCACAUACGGACAUAGCCAAGAUUUUGCCAUCGACCGGUCUACAUAGGUGCCGGCGAUCACGAUGGCAGCGUACUACCACGGCGGCGCCGGCACGGACAUCCAUCAGGCCGGCAGCGACGGCCUGCAAACACUGUACCUCAUGAACCCAAGCUACGGCAACGGCAGCUACGGGGACGCCGGGCCCUCCGGGGCCAACAUGAUGCUCCUCAACUCGGCGGUGAGCUCCAUGACCCCGGCGUCCUUCGGCGGCCACCAGGCGUCGCCACCGCCGGGGCAGCACUUCGUCGGCAUCCCUCUCCAGGCGCCCCCCUCGGGCUACAACCUGUGGACCCCUGCCACAACCGGCAUCGCCGACGUCAUGUCGCCGCCGACGCAGCAGGCUCAUGGCGUGAGUGCCGUGCUCAGCCUGUCGUCCCGCGAGACGCCGCCGGUCACGGUGGCGUCCAUCGCCGGCGACGAAGGGAGGUACCACCUUGGGGCGACGACCGCGGCGUCGCAGGGGCAGGUGGUGAUGAACUCCAAAUACCUCAGGGCGGCGCAGGAGCUGCUCGACGAGGUGGUGAGCGUGAGCAAGGGCGUGGACGACGUGGACGCCAAGGCGAAGAGCGCUGUGUCGGUCAAGAAGAAGGAGGAUUCGGAAGGCCUUUCCGGCGGCGGCGGGGAGGAAGGCGCCAGCGGGGCCAAGGGUGGCGCGCCAGCGCCCGAGAUGUCGACGGCGGAGCGGCAGGAGCUGCAGAUGAAGAAAGGCAAACUGGUUAACAUGCUUGACGAGGUGGAGCAGCGGUACCGGCAGUACCACCAGCAGAUGGCGUCGGUGUCGUCGUCGUUCGAGGCGGUGGCCGGCGCCGGGUCGGCGCGGACGUACACGGCGCUGGCGCUGCGCACCAUCUCGCGGCAGUUCCGCUGCCUCCGCGACGCCAUCGCCUCCCAGGUGCGCGCCGCCAGCCGCGCCCUGGGCGAGGACUGCGACGCCGAGGGGCUCGGCGGCGGACUCGGCGGAGGGCGCGGCGUCGGUUCGCGGCUCCGGUACAUCGACCACCAGCUCCGGCAGCAGCGCGCGCUGCAGCAGUUGGGCAUGAUGCAGAGCAGCGCGUGGCGCCCGCAGCGGGGCCUCCCCGAGCGCUCCGUCUCCAUCCUCCGUGCAUGGCUCUUCGAGCACUUCCUCCACCCAUACCCCAAGGAUUCGGACAAGAUCAUGCUCGCCAAGCAGACCGGCCUCACCAGGAGCCAGGUGUCGAACUGGUUCAUCAACGCGAGGGUGAGGCUGUGGAAGCCGAUGGUGGAGGAGAUGUACCUGGAGGAGACCAAGGAGCAUCAGCAGCAGCAGGACGGCGGCGACGACAAGGGGAGGCCGACCGGGUCCGGCCCCGCCGGAGGAAAGAGCAGCAGCAACGCGGACGGCGUGGACGACGGCACUCCGAGGUCCAUGGCCAGAGCGGCGGUGGGGGCCGGGACGUCGGAGGGCGGCGGCGCCGUCCAGGCGUCCUUGCUCGAGCUCGCCGGAGACCACCAGGCGCACGCGGGGUUCUACGACGAGGAGGGUGAGGAUGGCGGGUUGCGGCGCGGCUUCAAGAAGGCGAGGGCGGCCGACCUCGAGCAGCAACCGCCAGCGGCGUUCGACUUCGGCGCGUUGCACCACGCGCAGGCAGCCGCGGCGGCCGCGGCCGCCGCAGCGAGGCAGCAGCACGACGAGGUGACCCACCGGGAGCUGCUCAUGAAGUUCAUGGAGAGCGGCGGCGCGGCGGGCGCGAGGGACCACCACCACCACCAACAGGACGAGGACGGGGCCGGCGGCGGGUACUCUCUGUUCGCGCCGGGGCCGUACGGGCAGUUCGGCACCGACCAGUCGUUCGCGUUCGCCGGGGCCGGGCAGCACGGCGGCGUCUCGCUCACGCUCGGCCUCCCCCACGGCGCCGGCGACCAGACGGCGUUCCUCAUGGGAGGCGGCAGCAGCAACGGCGCCGACAGCGGUGGCAGCGGCGCCGCCGGCUACGACAUGAACAUGCAGACCACCAAGUCCUUCGCGGCUCAGCUCAUGAGAGACUUCGUGGCAUAGUAUGAAUAUCACCACUAUUACAUAGCGCAAUCCAUUAAUCAAAUCCCAAAAAAAAAUCGGUUAAUCAAUCAAUUUAGGGCUUGUAUAGAAAAUAAAAGGGUAAAAGCCUAGGCUGCCAUUAAUCCUAAACCUCUAGGGCAUUGGGGGUGUAAUUAUGUAAAGAUGGGGACAUUGUAUAUAGUUACUAUAGGUUAGCUAAGGUAGUUAAAACCCAAACAUUUCCGGUUACAAGAUUGUAUAGGGCAAUAGGGGGAUGGGGGGUAUACGAUACGUGAAGGGGUAUAUAUGUAAAACAUUGGAAUUGGGGAACUUGGAAGUGUAUGCGGUAUAGUAGGUUUAUUGGAGAUUUGAGUAUUGUUUUUGGUUACUGUACUGAAAUGUAAUGUAGUUAUUGUAGUACUUCUCUUCACUACUUGUUCCAGUUCCAUGGAUGAAGAGAACAGAUGCAUGAGAUGGCAUAUCUUGUUACCUUUAGCAACCAAAACUCAUUGUUGUACCAUGUUCAUGUGAUUUUCUUUCUCUUCUACAGAAAACAGUUCAUUUCUGGCAGGAAAAGGACAAAAUAUUCUACACGCAAGAGAUCAGGUUCGCAAGAAGUUCAUCACUUAAUCAGCCUGCAAGAGAUGUCAGGCUGGAGCCUGAGUAUCCCGCCUCGCCCUAGUCAUCAUCCUGCUUCAGCGGGGGCGAGUUUCCAGAAUUCCAGUUGCGCGAGAAAGAUGGCUCUCGCAAACGCGCCCGUGGCAGUGGUGGCGGCUCCACCGCCCAGCCCUGGUCGUCGACCAUUCCCACUUCCCAGUCCAUGCCAUUCUGGCAAGUCCGUGGCCCAGAGGCCGUCUGUCUCUUGUACGCAUGCAGACCAUAGUGGCCACCGGCGCCUAUCCUAUUGAAGAAUUAGGUUUUUUAGGAGAAGAAUUAGGGUUCCAGCGAUCGAGUCGAAUCUGUAUCAGCCGUGAUGCACUGAUGGGAGAAUAGUAAUAAAAAUCAGUUUACCUUUUUAGCUCUGUUAGAAGGGAGAGAGAGGGAUUGUUGCGGAAUAUGAUGGAUGUAUUAUUGAGCCUCGAGGGCGA
rnacentral:rRNA from 1 species